rnacentral:lncRNA from 1 species
GGGGUAAAGUGUACCGCCAACGAUUCGUCCGAGUGGAUACCAUGAAUCGGAAUCGAACCAAUUCCAAAACUCGGAGAAACCGUGUUCUGUGAGGUAGAGAGUGGUGCGGUAGUUGAAAUAUGGAUCGAAUUCAUGGAUCAUGGAUUCAUAGCGAAGGACGCUGAAGAGACGAGUGAUGAAUGCGAGGAUAUAGAUUAAACCUAGGGUUGUGAUUCGGAGAAGAAGCUCUUGUUGUUUGGUUUUGAGUUUUAGGGUUUUGGGAAGGGAAUUGAGGAGAUCUUGGGUUACUGAUGGUGGGUUUUGGGAUUUUCAUGGAAAAUGGGAAUUUUCUUGGGAAAAUGUGGAUGAGAAAAUGA